AGCCGCGGUAAUUCCAGCUCCAAUAGCGUAUAUUAAAGUUGUUGCAGUUAAAAAGCUCGUAGUUGAAUUUCGGGAUUGACACAUCGGUCGUGCCUUAAGGGGUAUGAACUGGUGUAGUCAAUUUCUCACCUUCUGGAGAACCGCAAUGCCCUUAAUUGGGUGUCGCGGGGAACCAGGACCUUUACUUUGAAAAAAUUAGAGUGUUUAAAGCAGGCAUUUUGCUUGAAUACAUUAGCAUGGAAUAAUAAAAUAGGACGGAUGAUUCUAUUUUGUUGGUUUCUAGGACCACCGUAAUGAUUAAUAGGGAUAGUUGGGGGCAUUAGUAUUCAAUUGUCAGAGGUGAAAUUCUUGGAUUUAUUGAAGACUAACUACUGCGAAAGCAUUUGCCAAGGAUGUUUUCAUUAAUCAAGAACGAAAGUUAGGGGAUCGAAGACGAUCAGAUACCGUCGUAGUCUUAACCAUAAACUAUGCCGACUAGGAAUCAGACGAUGUUAAUUUUUUAAUGACUCGUUUGGCACCUUAUG
rnacentral:misc_RNA from 1 species